ACAGCUGUCCCUGUUCUUGGGUGCAUCACGCCGCACCAGUUUGGAGCUGGCCGAGCAGCUGGGCGUACUGGCCAGCUGUGACCCGCCGAGGCGGUCUGCUGGCCAUCCCGUCUCUCAUGGGCCAGAGUGGAUGAAAAAGGCAAACGGUGCGGAAAAUUGCCACGUCUUUCCCCUGGAAAUGCUUAAAAUAUCUGUAAACUACAUACU
rnacentral:lncRNA from 1 species